rnacentral:rRNA from 1 species
UACAGAGGUCUCGAGCGUUAGGCGGAAUCACUGGGCUUAAAGCGUGUGUAGGCGGAUCGUUAAGUGCCUUGUGAAAUCCCUCGGCUUAACCGGGGAACUGCGUCUGAUACUGGAUGGCUUGAGUGUGGGAGAGGGAUGCGGAAUUCCAGGUGUAGCGGUGAAAUGCGUAGAUAUCUGGAGGAACACCGGUGGCGAAGGCGGCAUCCUGGACCAUUACUGACACUGAAAAGCGAAAGCCAGGGGAGCAAACGGG